AUGCCUCGCACAUUUGAAGAAGAAUGUGAUUUUAUCGAUCGCUUGACAGACACAAAGUUUCGAAUUAAGAAAGGUUUUGUGCCGAAUAUGAAUGUGGAGGGACGAUUUUAUGUGAAUAAUAGUCUCGAACAAUUAAUGUUUGACGAGUUAAAGUUCUCAUGUGAUGGACAAGGAAUCGGUGGAUUUUUGCCAGCGGUCAGACAAAUUGCCAACGUGGCAUCCCUACCAGGAAUUGUUGGACAUUCGAUUGGUCUUCCAGAUAUUCACUCUGGUUAUGGUUUUUCCAUUGGAAACAUCGCUGCGUUCGACGUUGGAAAUCCAGAAUCUGUAAUCUCACCCGGAGGCGUCGGUUUUGAUAUCAACUGUGGAGUACGAUUACUUCGAACGAAUCUUUUUGAAGAAAAUUUGGAGUUGGUUCACGUGGUGCAAUUCCAAUGCUUGCAUCAGAUCUUGUUGAAUGUUUAGAAAUGGGAAUGGAUUGGACAUUACGUGAAGGUUAUUCAUGGGCAGAAGAUAAAGAACAUUGUGAAGAAUAUGGACGAAUGUUACAAGCAGAUGCAUCGAAAGUUUCAUUGAGAGCUAAAAAACGUGGACUUCCACAAUUGGGAACUCUUGGAGCAGGAAAUCAUUACGCAGAAGUUCAAGUUGUCGAUGAGAUUUAUGAUAAACAUGCUGCAAGUACAAUGGGAAUUGAUGAAGAAGGGCAAGUUGUUGUAAUGCUUCAUUGUGGAAGUCGAGGACUUGGACAUCAAGUUGCAACUGACUCAUUAGUUGAAAUGGAAAAAGCAAUGGCUAGAGAUGGAAUUGUUGUAAAUGAUAAGCAGCUUGCGUGUGCAAGAAUUAAUUCGGUUGAAGGCAAAAACUACUUUUCCGGAAUGGCGGCUGCUGCAAACUUCGCCUGGGUUAACAGAUCGUGUAUCACAUUCUGUGUUCGUAAUGCAUUCCAAAAGACAUUUGGAAUGUCAGCAGAUGAUAUGGAUAUGCAAGUAAUCUAUGACGUGUCACAUAAUGUAGCAAAAAUGGAAGAGCAUAUGGUUGAUGGUAGACCACGUCAGCUGUGUGUUCAUCGAAAAGGAGCUACACGCGCUUUUCCGGCUCAUCAUCCAUUAAUACCAGUUGAUUAUCAGUUAAUUGGACAACCUGUACUAAUUGGUGGAAGUAUGGGAACUUGUAGUUAUGUUCUAACAGGAACUGAACAAGGAUUAGUGGAAACUUUUGGAACAACAUGUCAUGGAGCUGGACGAGCACUUUCACGUGCCAAAUCACGCCGAACUAUCACUUGGGAUUCGGUAAUUGAUGAUUUGAAAAAGAAGGAGAUCUCAAUUCGCAUUGCAUCGCCUAAAUUGAUUAUGGAAGAAGCACCCGAAUCGUAUAAGAAUGUGACGGACGUUGUAGACACGUGUGAUGCAGCUGGCAUCAGUAAAAAGGCGGUCAAACUGAGACCAAUUGCGGUCAUCAAGGGAUAAAAUCCAUUUAUGUUCUUGUUUUUGUCAUUUUUUCUCCUCAUUUUGUAUAGGCCUUGUUUUUUGUUAAGAAUUAUUUAUUUGUUUCCUUUCUCCUGAUAAAAGUUUUAAUAAAUCAUUUAA
rnacentral:misc_RNA from 1 species